rnacentral:rRNA from 1 species
AACGUAGGAGACAAGCGUUAUCCGGAGUUACUGGGCGUAAAGGGCGUGUAGGUGGCAGAGUAAGUCUGUUGUGAAAGCUCCUGGCUUAACCGGGAGAGGCCAAUGGAGACUGCUCAGCUCGAGGCCGGUAGAGGUGGGUGGAAUUCCGGGUGUAGUGGUGAAAUGCGUAGAGAUCCGGAGGAACACCAGAGGCGAAGGCGGCCCACUAGGCCGGACCUGACACUGAAACGCGACAGCAUGGGGAGCAAACGGG